GACAAAAUCUGCUUUCAGGGAAAGUUGCAAGGAUGUGUGUGAGUCACUCCUGAAGUAUCAGGAAACGAUGCAAGACUGCAGCAGCUGCAUAGAAUGAAGUGCUGAAAGGACUGCAGGAAGAGGACAAUACUGGGAAAUUGUAUACAGCAUCUCAUCCAUGGUGUGUUUCUGAAGGUGCCAUGCCUUCACAAACACGCCGCUGCUGCUCAAAGAAGUGUAAUAAAACUGGUACUUCUGCUUAUUUUAUUUUUCCUGCAUGUUUGAAAACCACCAUGUAACAGGUAAGUGUUGCUAUACUGAUUUCAAGAAUGAGAAUAUUUGGAGUCACAGAGAACUUAAAUGUUUUGGCCAUACAGAGCUGGUCAAAUAUAGAGCCAAAAAGAAAAUAAAUGAGCAGUCACGUGUCUUUGCUAGACUGAGUGUCUGACUACAUCUCAUCUGAUCACUGUAAAACCGAAACAAAACACUAGUUUAUGUGUCUUGCUUAUUUUGGCAUCUUUCUAGAUUAUGCCUUUUUUUUUUUUUUUUUCCCUUUGAAUAAAACCACCUAAUAGACCUGUUUGUUUUCUUUGCCGAAAUUAUCACACACACUGGAGACAGAAGUUAGUUCAGAGCCAGUGGCAAUGCUCAUAAAGCUGUCCUCAACUUCAGAAGCCCACUGCUUGGUACUUUGUCAGGAUGGAGACCUUUGAAAGUAAGAGUACCUACUAAGAGGAAAAGGGCUGUUGGUUUGGAGGUUUGUAAAAGUAGACAGGGUGUAGCCACAGGAGAGAAAUGCUCAUGUGAUUAAUGUAUGUUCUAUUUGCGUCUUUGAGGAUUAUAGAAACCAACCUGUCUGAUAUGUUGUGGCAUCUUCACCUCUCUGCCAGGGCUGAGUCUUAACUCCAGUAGGUGGGGUCAGUCACAGGCUUGUCAUCCUUGCCUCGUCUUACCUGAAAAUAGAGUUCCGUGGUUCUUAUAAUGACAGCAUUUGUUAGAACAUCUGUUCUCAGCAUUCAAAGCUGCUUAAAAUGCUCAGCAUUGAAUGUAAAAAACUUAAUAACUCUUCAUCCAGAUGACUUUGUAGCAGACAGGCAAAUCUAUUCAAACAUUCACUGGUUUAGUAGGGUUUAGAAAGGGCUCAGAGGAGAACACAGGAUUGCAAACUGUAGGAAGAGCAGCUCCAUUUACACUAAAAUUGUUUCAAUUCUGGCAUCUAAGAUACUAUUGCCCUUUUAGCCAUUCUUUGUGAAAGAAGAUACAGAUGGAACUAUGUCAAAAAAGCUUGUUAAAAACUGGUUGAGAGUCCAAAAUAGUUUUUAACAUGUUUUAUCACAGGACAACAUCUCUGCACUGUAGGCAGAAGUGGAUGGUUAUACAGACAGAGGGUUGUCCUGUCUCUCAGUACAGUGUUAUCAGAAAGCACAUUAAGUACUUUUCUCCAUACCCGAAGGUGUCUUGUCAUUAAAUCUGCUUGUGUUGGACUUGUCUGUACGCACAGGUCGCUGCAAGACUCGCUAGGGUGUGGAUUUACAGUAUGGCAGGUAACCCACAGAAACAACCUAUGGACACAGCUGUAGCCAGCAGUCGGCAGAGGAUGUCUGUUCCUCAAGGAAAACAGGGUUAGUGCACGCACACAGGCUGUUUCCAUGGAGCAGCUCACAUCACAGGCUGUAAAUCCCCACCCUCUCUUGCCUCACGCUGUCUUGUGUGUGUAGUCAUACCCCAAGCAAAGGUGAAUACAUACACCCAUGAGCUGAGCAGGAAAAGCUCAUCCUACAGAUACCAUUUAGUGUAACACAAUGCAGAGCAGAGAGCGGGGUUGAGAGAUCUGGGUGUUCCAUAGCUCACAGGAUGUUUUUUUUCCCCCACUGAAAUAAAUUGCUUCUGUGUUGUGACUA